CUCCUCCAAAAGUUUUACCUCCUCACUCUCCUAUCUCAAAUCUAUCUCUCUCUUUGUCGAGAUCUGCCGCCUCCUUUCUUUUUUCUUUACAAACAGAACCAGACCCACCUUCACAAAUCGAUUUUGAUCCAACAAAUAAAAGAGGGUAUUCAUGGAAAAAAUCUUCCACUUGUGAGUAGUAAAACAGAGAGAAAGAAAAUGUAGAUUUGGGAUUUUGCUUGCAAUCAGAGACUCAAACAAAUUUCAGUGAUUGUGAUCUAGCACUUGUGGUGGUGAAUUGCGAAGGUUGUGGUGAUAAUGGUAGUUGUUUAAUUUUGAUUGGUUUUGGUGGAUAGUUUUCCGGCUUAGUACCAUUGAGGGUAAUUUUUGGGUUAAUUCAUGGUGUAAGUUUAGCGAUCAUGGUAGAUAAGAUGUUCUCUCAAUUUAGAAUGCAGUAAGAAAUUAUUACAUGAUUUAUUGGAUCUCGUUUGUGAUAUUUAAGUUCUUUAGCUGUGAUAUUACAUGAUGAUGUAGUAUGAAAUGUUUGAAGAAAUUAAAAUAAUUUGUUAUUGG